AUUGAACGCUGGCGGCAUGCCUAACACAUGCAAGUCGCACGCGAAAGAGGGGCAACCCUUGAGUAGAUUGGCGGACGGGUGAGUAACGCGUAGGAAUAUACCUGGUAGUGGGGGACAACCCGGUGAAAACCGGGCUAAUACCGCAUACGAUCCACGGAUGAAAGCAGGGGACCGCAAGGCCUUGCGCUAUCAGAUUAGCCUGCGUCGGAUUAGUUAGUUGGUGAGGUAAUGGCUGACCUGGGCAACGAUCCGUAGCUGGUUUGAGAGAACGACCAGCCACACUGGGACGGAGACACGGCCCAGACUCCUACGGGAGGCAGCAGGGGGGAAUAUUGGACAAGGGGGGCAACCCUGAUCCAGCAAUGCCGCGUGUGUGAAGAAGGCCUUCGGGUUGUAAAGCACUUUCGGUGGGGACAAACGUGGCGAGGCUAACAUCCUCGUCCUUGAUGGUACCUACAGAAGAAGCACCGGCCAACUACGUGCCAGCAGCCGCCGUAA
rnacentral:rRNA from 1 species